rnacentral:rRNA from 1 species
GACGAACGCUGGCGGCGUGCUUAACACAUGCAAGUCGAACGGAAAGGCCCUGCUUUUGUGGGGUGCUCGAGUGGCGAACGGGUGAGUAACACGUGAGUAACCUGCCCUUGACUUUGGGAUAGCUUCAGGAAACUGGGGCUAAUACCGGAUAGGAUCUCCUGCUGCAUGGUGGGGGUUGGAAAGUUUCGGCGGUUGGGGGUGGACUCGCGGCUUAUCAGCUUGUUGGUGGGGUAGUGGCUUACCCAGGCUUUGACGGGUAGCCGGCCUGGGAGGGUGACCGGCCCCAUGGGGCCAGGGGACGGGGCAGGACCCCAGCGGGGGGAAGGGGGGGGAGAUAUUCGAAAAAGGGCGGAGGGCGGGAGGAAGAACGCCGGGUCGGGAAAGGCGGCUUUGGGGGGAGAAACCAUUUGUCCGUGGGAAGAAGCGGGAGGAAGGUAAAUGGUUAAAAAGGCACGGCCAAAUAAGGG